rnacentral:rRNA from 1 species
UGGGGAAUAUUGCACAAUGGAGGGAACUCUGAUGCAGCGACGCCGCGUGAGUGAUGAAGGACUUCGUUUCGUAAUACUCUGUUCUAUGGGAAGAAAAGGACUGUACCAUAGGAGAAAGCUCCGGCUAAAUACGUGCCAGCAGCCGCGGUAAUACGUAUGGAGCGAGCGUUGUCCGGAAUUAUUGGGCGUAAAGGGUGCGCAGGCGGCUUUACAAGUUGGAUGUGAAAUAUUGUGGCUCAACCACAAACGUGCAUCCAAAACUGCAAAGCUUGAGUUAAGGAGAGGUAAGUGGAAUUCCUGGUGUAGCGGUGGAAUGCGUAGAUAUCAGGAGGAAUACCGGUGGCGAAGGCGACUUACUGGACUUAAACUGACGCUCAGGCACGAAAACGUGAGGAGCAAGCAGG